rnacentral:rRNA from 1 species
UACGUAGGGUGCAAGCGUUAAUCGGAAUUACUGGGCGUAAAGCGUGCGCAGGCGGUUAUGCAAGACAGAUGUGAAAUCCCCGGGCUCAACCUGGGAACUGCAUUUGUGACUGCAUGGCUAGAGUGCGGCGGAGGGGGAUGGAAUUCCGCGUGUAGCAGUGAAAUGCGUAGAUAUGCGGAGGAACACCGAUGGCGAAGGCAAUCCCCUGGGCCUGCACUGACGCUCAUGCACGAAAGCGUGGGGAGCAAACAGG